UACGUAGGCAGCGAGCGUUGUUCGGAGUUACUGGGCGUAAAGCGUGCGUAGGCGGUGUCUUAAGUUUGUUGUGAAAUCUCCCGCUCAACCGGGAGGGUGCGCCGAAAACUGGGAGACUAGAGUGCGGGGAUGGGAGAGUAGAAUUCCUGGUGUAGCGGUGAAAUGCGUAGAUAUCAGGAGGAAUACCGGUGGUGUAGACGGCCCUCUGGACCGCCACUGACGCUGAGACACGAAAGCGUGGGUAGCAAACAGG
rnacentral:rRNA from 1 species